rnacentral:rRNA from 1 species
GGGUACGUGGAUACGAAGGCCGUUCGCGGCUGGACUAUUUAUUACCCUUGUCUUUUGCGCACUUGUUGUUUCCUGGGCGGGUUCGCUCGCCACCAGGACCACAAUAUAAACCUUUUUUAUGCAGUUGCAAUCAGCGUCAGUAUAACAAAUGUAAAUCAUUUACAACUUUCAACAACGGAUCUCUUGGUUCUGGCAUCGAUGAAGAACGCAGCGAAAUGCGAUACGUAGUGUGAAUUGCAGAAUUCAGUGAAUCAUCGAAUCUUUGAACGCACAUUGCGCCCUUUGGUAUUCCAAAGGGCAUGCCUGUUCGAGCGUCAUUUGUACCCUCAAGCUUUGCUUGGUGUUGGGCGUUUUUGUCCCCCCCAAAAAGGGGACUCGCCUUAAAAGGAUUGGCAGCCGGCCUACUGGUUUCGCAGCGCAGCACAUUUUUGCGCUUGCAAUCAGCAAAAGAGGACGGCAAUCCAUCAAGACUCCUUCUCACGUUUGACCUCGGAUCAGGUAGGGAUACCCGCUGAACUUAAGCAUAUCAAAA